GAAUCUUCCCAGCAGUAGAUUUCCCCCCACCAGCUGGAGGCCCUCUACCUUCAGCUGAAUUCACAUGGUGGAGUCUUGGUAAAGCUGGAGUCUGAACGCAGAAAGUUCUCAAGUUUUCCAUGCCUGCUCAGGAAAAGGAGCAAAGCAUCAAUUGUGCAGGCUGUAAUAUGUAAAACACAAAGAAAUAUGAAAGGAUCCCUCAGGAACUUUAACUUCCUAUAUUGGUGAAAAAUGCUUCAAAGUUAGCAAAAGACCAACUUCUAGAGCCUUUGGAAUAUUUUUGAAGGCAAGAGCUUAUGUGAUAUCAGAUGCUGUAAAUUCUUAGCUCACGUCUACAACAGUAUGCUUUCAAUAAACGUUUUCUCUUGCUGUUGUUAUUAUUAUUA
rnacentral:lncRNA from 1 species